GAUGAACGCUGGCGGCGUGCUUAACACAUGCAAGUCGAGCGAACGGGCGAGAAUCUUGCUUGUUUCAUGUUAGCGGAGGACGGGAGUGUCACACGAGUAUCCCCUACUUAUAUUUGUGGGAACACUUCGGGACUCCGGAGCUAACACCGGAUAAGCUCCUGAUCCGUGUGGUUGAAUAGAGAGAGUCGGCCGUUCGGUCUGGUAUAGAUGGAUACGCGCUGCAUUAGCUAGUUGGUAAGGUAAAGGGUUACCAAGGCUGCGAUGCAUAGCCGACGUGAGAGGGUGAUCGGCCACACUGGAACUGAGACACGGUCCAGACUCCUACGGGAGGCAGCAGUAGGGAAUCUUCCGCAAUGGGCGAAAGCCUGACGGAGCAACGCCGCGUGAGUGAUGAAGGUCUUCGGAUCGUAAAGCUCUGUUAUUAGGGAAGAACAUAUGUGUAAGUAACUGUGCACAUCUUGACGGUACCUAAUCAGGAAGCCACGGCUAACUACGUG
rnacentral:rRNA from 1 species